GCCUCUAUAGCUCAGCGGUAGAGCACCGGUUUUGUAAACCGGGGGUCGGGGGUCCAAAUCCCUCUAGAGGCU
rnacentral:tRNA from 1 species